AACGCACGAGACCUGCGGACCUGCGGAAGGAUCAUUACAGGACUCGCAAGACUCCUACAACCCUGUGAACUUAACUAUAAGCACGUUGCUUCGGCGGGUGUCUCGGCGAGGGUCCUCCCUCCCCGGGGCGCUAAGCCCGCCGGCAGCCUACUAUACUCUGUCUCUUUGCGUUGGCAUCUCGAGUACAAACAAACAAGUUAAAACUUUUAACAAUGGAUCUCUAGAUCGGAAGAGCACACG
rnacentral:misc_RNA from 1 species